GCCACUGUGGCCUAGUGGUUUGAAUGCUCUACUAAGACUCUAGGGACCAGGAUUCGAAUCUCUGCUGGAGCA